ensembl:lncRNA
AGGUGAUUGACAGGUUCACAGACUGACGGUCUGUCAGCGGAAGCCUGGCAAAAACACAACAAAAAACGAACACGGAGGAGAUAGAGAGGAGAACCGGAGUCACAGCCGAGGAUAAAGUAGAUCUGAAAAUGCUUGCGAGAGCAAAUCAUCUGUCACUUGAGGAGACUGAUGUUUCUGAAGCAAGAAUUGAGACACAUAAGACUGAUGAUUUUCCCAGUCACAAGAUGAAAGGAGAGUCACCAAAGAAACAGGGUCACCAAACUGGAGGUGCAUCAUUGGAUAAACAGGAAACUGGAAAUGUUGAGUCGACUAACAUGUUCUGUGAUGACUAUGAGGAUGUUCCCGAUCGCAAGAUGAAAGAUGAGUCACCAAAGAAACAGGAUCACCAAACUGGAGCUGCAUCAUCUGAUGAACAGCAGUUGACGCAACAUAACUAGAAAAGCACUCAGAGAGCUCAGUCCUCCUCCAAGGCUGCUCAGCUGAUGGAUAAUUUCCGACGGAUGAAAUCUUUUAUAAAAAAUGACCUUGUGCUGAGCACAGGCAUGUGUUAUGCAUGUGCAUGUUAUGUAUUCAUACAGAAUUGCAUGGAAAUUACUCUUAUAAAGGUCUGUUGAUCAGUUCAUCAAUUUUGCCAAGCCUUUGCUGCUGUUAAAAUUACUGUUCCCUUAAUGCUUUUGUUUUGAAGGCGUAUUUUUAAUGGUACGGACUUUUAUUUUGUCACCAUUCCAGCGGCACAGGAAAUGUUAAUCUAAGAAGCGGUUUCUUGACAUGACAAAGACGUUGCCGAAAAGUCAGAAAAUUCACAUAUAGAUGAAAGAAAACGGUUCCAGCUGUUGCUGUCUAGCAAAGGAUGUGUCUAAACUUAGAAGCAGCUGGAAUGGAGACAAGCUCUGACUGUGUUUCCUGAAGAAAGGAGGGAAGGACAGAAAGGUGAAUCUGUGUUCAAAAUAAGGCUGACAGCUGAACGUAAAUAAAGGCUUUGUGAACCAUCAGGAGCUUCACCGUUAUUCGCCCCCAUAGACUGUAUAUAAAGAUGGACAUAGCAUCCGUGACGUCACCCGUUGGUUUCUGCACUGAGAAAUUGAAGCCUCUUCCUGGUUGACAUCUUGGAUUUUUGGAGCCAGUGAAGACAACAAGGGCGGAGCCAGAGAGCAGCGAUUGGUCAGACUGACUGAGAGCCGAAGAUUCUCUGUCCCGCCCACAUUUACGGCUUCUGCUGUUUACCUGCUGCUGCUAACAACGUUAGCAUCCAAAAGUGAAGAUAAACUCUACAGCUAAGUCAUUUUUGUAACUAGUUGUACUCUUCUCCACAUCUGGACAACAUCACAUAUAAAGCAGUGAAGUUACUGUAAGUUAAUAUCAAACUAUAACAUCUGAUAUAAACAUGUUCUAACGUCGUGUUUUAAAAUUGUUCUGUAAAUCUGAGGUUUCCUCAUUUAGUGCUAAUGCUACAUCAGGUUAGUCAGUGUCAUAAACUAGGUAACUGUUAGCUGUAGCUAAGUCUCCUGCAGAUCACAGCUGAUCAAUCAUAACGGAUUGAUAAGUGCUGUUUUAAUGAUCAGCAGAUAUAAAUAAAUCUACGUUAAUGUUCCUCCACAGAACUGUUACUGAUGAAUGUUAAUCUCUCAGUUCAGUUCUGAGUUAGUAUCUCUGUUCUUUGCUUCAGUUUUUUCUCUACAACUGUCUAUGAUGAGAUAACUGUGGAGCUCAUGCUAAUGAUACAUUAGAAUAAAAUAGAAGAAACUUUUUUGUCCAUCCAAGGCAGUAAAAUGGUCUUUAGCCUCAACCAGGAAAAGAAACAUUUCCAGAAGAUUAAAAAAUAGAACAAAAUACAACACUAUUGUGUUCCAUUCAUAUCCUGCUGUGUUCACUCUGGUAUUUAACGUUCCAGCAGUUGGAAUGAAAGAACCUUGUGGACCUUUUCCUCACUGUUAGUGUCUUUUCCUACCAGUCUUGGUCUGGAUCAUUGGGAACAUCUGGUCUGAUGGACUGAGAGCUACAGAGAGCAUGAACAUCCAGCUGUGGUUGUCUGAAGAGUCUUUUCUCCUUCAUCACUGUGAGGAAGAGCAGCACUGAUGUCCUCCUCAUCCUUCCAGUAAUAACAAUAAUGCUGCAGAUUCAGCUCCUCUCUUCAUAAUACAACUUGUCUUGUUACUUUUCAGUUUUUACAUUUCACUGUCAGCAACACAUUAUUUAUUUCAUCCAUUUAUUAUAUGUGUUUAAACGUCUUUACAGUUCACAAUUGUUAAAUAAUGUAGUUUUUAAAUGUGCCGUAAAGGAAAUAAUGAAGCUCUUGACCUGAAUGUGUUGAUGUUUUAAUGCUGCACAUCUGCUAUAAAUAACAUGGACUUUUUAUAUUUUAUUUCUGCUCCAACAGCAGAGAUGCAGUUAAAGGUGAUAAAUGGAACCUGUGAAUACUAAGAACAGAGAAUAAUAAACAGCUGAAACAGUUGGUCUGUCCGUCUGUAAGUGAAAGUUAAACAGGAAGUGGCUCACUGAGGAUGUCGUCCAUUCAGUCUCCUUCUUCACAACCAGAUGAGGUUUUCCUUCUGUUGGCUUCACUCAGAAGAUCCUCACAGUGAACAUGAGACACCUGAGAUGAAGACAGACGUCACAGUAUCUGCAUCAACAGCAGAGGUUCAUUUUAAAGUAUUCCUGGAUAGAUUUCCUAUUUCAUAUAUUUUUCCAAGCACUGAAAGACAGAAAGGCCUGUAGUCACUUUAGCUUUAAGGGAGAGGAUUUUAUUAUCCAGCUUAUCUGUGCUGUAAUUUAAAUGUAAUAACUGUAGUGUUCAUCAUUACUUUGGUCAUGUUCUGGGAGGUUAUUUUUCUAAUCUGCACUAAGAUGUACUACAACAUGUGAAUCAGUCAUUAAACAACGUUAAUGACUAGAGAGCAGAUUUACUGUUUUCUUCACUUUAACUUCAGAGACUCAGAUAUUCAGGACUACUGACAACACAGAACCUUAACCUCACUGUUGUAAUCACAUUUAGGUUUUCUAAACGUUACCAUUAAUGUGAACCAGCAUCUCCAUGAACAGUUUUAUUAACUAAAUGCACCACAUUACAGUAACACAACACACUUCAGCUGUUUACAUGAAACUCAACACAAACAUCGUUAGCUUAAUGCUACGUUAGCUUUAAUCAGGCUACGACUGAGCAGCUAGCUCGGUUAGCAUCGCUAACAUUAACACUAAUAUUUACUGGAUGCUAACUCUCUUCUCUGGUCAACACACACAGAAAUAAACUCCACCAACAUCUGGAGUGCAUGGCACACAUUAUAUCUGACACUAAAGCUGCAUAUAAAGUACAUUAAAAGCGGCACCGAUACGAAAAUAAACAUUAACUUACUGAACUAUCAGAGUCCUUUCAGUGUCUGCUGGUAGAAUCAGCUGAAGGCAGAAAACUGGUUAAAACAAGCCAAUAGGCAGGAAAACUGUCUGUGAAAAAGGUUCUGCUGCUCCACCGAUAAAUAAAACAACAGUUAUUAUAUCAGAAUUAAUCCAAACGAGGAGAGCAGAGUCUCUGCUGCCUCCUCCAUAGGACCUGUCAAUCAUUCCAGACCAAACUGUCAAUCAAGUAGUCCCGCCCCCUGGCUUCUCAAAACUUUAACGCUCUAUAAAAAAGUCAAUAUUGAUUUAUUUUAAGAUCAGCCACCUGAUCUCUCGUUUUGACCAUGAAAACUAACGAAAAAAAAAUCCUGAGCCGUAGAAAAGCAGUCUAUCAAAUUUGAGGUUUUCCUGUGAUGAAUUGGGGUCUAUGGAGCUUUUUGGAGCCAGGCCCUGGUUGACGGUGUGAUAUUGCAAGUUUCUGAUACUUCCGGGUAGGCUUCAUUUUUGAAGCCAGACGCUUGGUCCAUCAUUAUAUACAGUCUAUGUUCGCAUCCCCGCUCUCACACACAUCGGCCCGCCUUCUUCUUCUUUGGUGUUCGUCUCCUUUCUUCUUCUUUUGGAGUUAAUGUCGGUUGGCAAACCAGCUCAUUUCAUUACUGUCAACUACUGGGCUGAAGUGUGGAGCAGAAGUUUGUCAGCAACAAAAAAUAUUCAAUAAUAAUUUUUAAAAAUCUGCAAAUUUACUGGUCGCACAUGCGUGAGUAGAUGAAAAAUUUCUCGCACUGUCUCAAAUUUUAGUCGCAAAAUGCGAUCAUUUAGUCGCAGUCUGGAGCCCUGGAUGGUGUUCAGCUGCUUCAGUCAACAGUUUGUUUUCAUUGGAAAACAAUUGUAUGAGGAAAAUACAAUGUAUGACGGCAAAAAGCUGCUACUGUAAAUGAUGUAAGACAGGAAUGCUAGUAGAAAACUGUUAAACAUGCGUUAAUAUAUUUAUUUUAUUGAUCAAUGCAGCUGAUUAUUUCUAACAGCUGCACAUCAGAGCUGUUAAACUAUAAACUUCAUAUAUUUAAACAUGAUGUGGUAUUGAAGCGCAUUUUGGUCUGACACUGUCUCAUAAUGAAGGAAAUCACUUUCAUUUUGGACAAAUCAAG